UUGCGCUGGAGCCGUCCUUGAAAUACCACCCUUGUAUGUUUGAUGUUCUAACGCAGGGCCCUGAAUCGGGCUCGCGGACAGUGCCUGGUGGGUAGUUUGACUGGGGCGGUCUCCUCCCAAAGAGUAACGGAGGAGCACGAAGGUUGGCUAAUCCUGGUCGGACAUCAGGAGGUUAGUGCAAUGGCAUAAGCCAGCUUAACUGCGAGACGGACAGGUCGAGCAGGUACGAAAGUAGGUCAUAGUGAUCCGGUGGUUCUGAAUGGAAGGGCCAUCGCUCAACGGAUAAAAGGUACUCCGGGGAUAACAGGCUGAUACCGCCCAAGAGUUCAUAUCGACGGCGGUGUUUGGCACCUCGAUGUCGGCUCAUCACAUCCUGGGGCUGAAGUCGGUCCCAAGGGUAUGGCUGUUCGCCAUUUAAAGUGGUACGCGAGCUGGGUUCAGAACGUCGUGAGACAGUUCGGUCCCUAUCUGCCGUGGGCGUUGGAUGAUUGAAGGGAGUUGCUCCUAGUACGAGAGGACCGGAGUGAACGAACCUCUGGUGUUCGGGUUGUCACGCCAGUGGCACUGCCCGGUAGCUAAGUUCGGAAUCGAUAACCGCUGAAAGCAUCUAAGCGGGAAGCGAGCCCUGAGAUGAGUCAUCCCUGACCCCUUGAGGGUCCUAAAGGGCCGUUGGAGACCACAACGUUGAUAGGCGGGGUGUGUAAGUGCAGCGAUGCAUUGAGCUAACCCGUACUAAUUACCCGUGAGGCUUAACCAUACAACACCCAAGAAGUGUUCU
rnacentral:rRNA from 1 species